CCCCACUGCUAUCGAGGUGGGACUAAGCCAUGCUAGUCGAACGACCCGGACUAUGGCGGGGAGUGGCAGACUGCUCAGUAACACGUAGCUAACCUACCCUCGGGACGGGGAUAACCCCGGGAAACUGGGGCUAAUACCCGAUAGGUGUGGAUUCCUGGAAUGGUGCCAUGCCUAAACGUAAUCACAUCCAUGUUUGUGUGCACGCCCGAGGAUGGGGCUGCGGCCGAUCAGGCAGUUGGUGAGGUAACGGCUCACCAAACCUUUGACCGGUACGGGCCAUGAGAGUGGUAGCCCGGAGAUGGGCACUGAGACAAGGGCCCAGGCCCUACGGGGCGCAGCAGGCGCGAAACCUCCACAAUUCACGAAAGUGAGAUGGGGUUACCUCGAGUGCCGUCUGAAGAAGGCGGCUUUUCCAUGGUGUAACAAGCCGUGGGAAUAAGGGGGGGGCAAGACUGGUGUCAGCCGCCGCGGUAACACCAGCCCCCCGAGUGGUGGGGAUGAUUAUUUGGCCUAAAGCGUCCGUAGCCGGCUUUGUAAAUCUCUCGUUAAAUCCAGCGUCCUAAGCGUUGGGCUGCGAGAGACACUGCAGAGCUAGAGGGUGGGAGAGGUCAGCGGUAUUCCUGGGGUAGGGGCGAAAUCCAUUGAUCCCAGGAGGACCACCAGUGGCGAAGGCUGCUGUCCAGAACACGCCUGACGGUCAGGGACGAAAGCUGGGGUAGCGAAUCGGAUUAGAUACCCGAGUAGUCCCAGCCGUAAACGAUGCAGGCUAGGUGUUGGGUCGGCCACGCGCCGCCUCAGUGCCACAGGGAAGCCAUUAAGCCUGCCGCCUGGGGAGUACGGCCGCAAGGCUGAAACUUAAAGGAAUUGGCGGGGGAGCACCACCAGGCGUGAAGCCUGCGGUUU
rnacentral:rRNA from 1 species